AUUGAACGCUGGCGGCAGGCCAAACACAUCCAAGUCGACCGAUUGCCGGACGGGUGAGUAAUGUCUGGGAACCUGCCUGAUGGAGGGGGUUAACUCCUGGAAACGUUGGCUAAUCCCGCCUACCAUCAGAUUUGCCCAGAUGGAAUUAGCUAGUUGGGGGGGUAACGGCUCACCAAGGCGACGAUCCCUAGCUGGUCUGAGAGGAUGACCAGCCACACUGGAACUGAGACACGGUCCAGACUCCUACGGGAGGCAGCAGUGGGGAAUAUUGCACAAUGGGCGCAAGCCUGAUGCAGCCAUGCCGCGUGUAUGAAGAAGGCCUUCGGGUUGUAAAGUACUUUCAGCGGGGAGGCGUUACCCGCAGAAGAAGCACCGGCUAACUCCGUGCCAGCAGCCGCGGUAAUAC
rnacentral:rRNA from 1 species